GACGUAGAAGCGGUUUUGGCAAGAAACCGUGGAGACCGUGGAAGUGAGGAUGCAGACAUAAGUAACGUUAAGGGCAGUGAAAUCCUGCCCCGCCGUAAGUCCAAGGUUUCCUGGGCAACGAUCGUCGUCCCAGGGUUAGUCGGGUCCUAAGGUCAAGCCUAAAGGCGUAAUCGAUGGAAAGCGAGGUUAAUAUUCCCGCACGUGUUUUGGUUAAAGUCAUAUGUGCGUCAACUAGUUCAAGCAUGCCCGUUGAAUGCGGCAGAAGGGGUUGGAGCAAUCCAAUCCUGGCCUUGAGUUAGUAGCGCCGAGAAAAGUAUGGCGUAUCGUCCAAAGCAUCCCGUACCGCAAACCGACACAGGUGGGCAGGAUGAAAAUUCUAAGGCGCUUGAGAGAACUCUGGAGAAGGAACUCGGCAAAUUGACACCGUAACUUCGGAAGAAGGUGUGCCUUUAGUAUGUGUAGGGACUUGCUCCCGAAGCAGAAUGAGGCCGCAGAGAAUCGGUGGCUGCGACUGUUUAAUAAAAACACAGCACUCUGCAAAGACGAAAGUCGACGUAUAGGGUGUGACGCCUGCCCGGUGCUGGAAGAUUAAAUGAUGGGGUGCAAGCUCUUGACUGAAGUCCCAGUAAACGGCGGCCGUAACAAUAACGGUCCUAAGGUAGCGAAAUUCCUUGUCAGGUAAGUUCUGACCCGCACGAAUGGUAUAAUGAUCUGGGCGCUGUCUCGGCUUCAAACUCGGUGAAAUCUUAGUCCCUGUGAAAAUGCAGGGUAGACGCAGUAAGACAAUAAGACCCCGUGAAGCUUUACUAUAACUUCAUAUUGGUUUUUGGUUUAACAUAUGUAGGAUAGGUGGGAGUCUAUGAAGUGAUGACGCUAGUUGUCAUGGAGACAUCCUUGAAAUACCACCUUUGUUAAAUUGAGGACCUAACUUGCACCCCUUAUCUGGGUGGAGGACAGUGUGUGGUGGGUAGUUUGACUGGGGCGGUCGCCUCCCAAAAGGUAACGGAGGCGCACAAAGUUACACUCAACAUGGUCGGAAAUCAUGUGUGGAGCGCAAAAGUAUAAGUGUGAUUGACUGUGAGACUUACAAGUCGAGCAGGGUCGAAAGACGGUUUUAGUGAUCCGCUGGUUCCUUGUGGAAGGGCCAGCGCUCAACGGAUAAAAGUUACUCCGGGGAUAACAGGCUUAUCUCCCCCAAGAGUUCACAUCGACGGGGAGGUUUGGCACCUCGAUGUCGGCUCGUCUCAUCCUGGAGCUGUAGUUGGUUCCAAGGGUUGGGCUGUUCGCCCAUUAAAGAGGCACGCGAGCUGGGUUCAGAACGUCGUGAGACAGUUUGGUCCAUAUCUACUGUGUCCGUAGGAUAUUUGAGAAAAGCUUCCCCUAGUACGAGAGGACCGGGGUGGACGUACCACUGGUGUUCCGGUUGUCCUGCCAAGGGCAUGGCCGGGUAGCUAUGUACGGAAUCGAUAAAUACUGAAAGCAUCUAAGUAUGAAGCGAAUUUCAAGAUAAGAUAUCCCACUCUUUAUGAGGUAAAUUCCCUUAUAGACUAUGAGGUUGAUAGGCUGGGUGUGUAAGUGUAGUAAUGCAUUGAGCUAACCAGUACUAAUUGAAUGGGAAAUCAUGUGU
rnacentral:rRNA from 1 species